AUUGAACGCUGGCGGCAGGCUUAACACAUGCAAGUCGAGCGGAGAUGAGGUGCUUGCACCUUAUCUUAGCGGCGGACGGGUGAGUAAUACCUAGGAAUCUGCCUAUUAAUGGGGGACAACAUCUCGAAAGGGAUGCUAAUACCGCAUACGCCCUACGGGGGAAAGCAGGGGAUCACUUGUGACCUUGCGUUAAUAGAUGAGCCUAAGUCGUAUUAGCUAGUUGGUGGGGUAAAGGCCUACCAAGGCGACGAUCUGUAGCGGGUCUGAGAGGAUGAUCCGCCACACUGGGACUGAGACACGGCCCAGACUCCUACGGGAGGCAGCAGUGGGGAAUAUUGGACAAUGGGGGGAACCCUGAUCUAGCCAUGCCGCGUGUGUGAAGAAGGCCUUAUGGUUGUAAAGCACUUUAAGCGAGGAGGAGGCUCUUUUGGUUAAUACCCAAGAUGAGUGGACGUUACUCGCAGAAUAAGCACCGGCUAACUCUGUGCCAGCCGCCGCGGUAAGAC
rnacentral:rRNA from 1 species